CUCAGUGAAGUGUAGUUUAAAGCUAGUAAUCUUAAGCGCUGAGGAAAAGGAAGGAAAAUAAAAAAUAAUUCUUGUCACUUAAUUGCAAUCCCCGCGAACUCUCAGAUCCUCAGCCUGGGAGUGGGAUGCAAACUCGGUGACAUGAACUGUCCACCUAUUUCCGCAUUGUCUCUGUCUCUUUUGCGUUAUAUAUUCCAGGUAGCCUUUCUCGUGAAUGCCGUGGAUCACCAAGGCAAGUUGCUGGGCUCGCUGUCUAGCGAGCGAAAGGAAGCCAAGGGAACUGAGGGGGCGUGGUUUGUUGUCAAUCAAUUCCGUGCGUGACCAUAUACGGUAAAUAGGGUUGACGAUCUGACUGGCGCCCAGUAAGGCGGUGCUUAAAUGGGCAAAGAGGAGGAGUAUGAUGUGAAUACUCUAGCGCGAUUGGCUCAUGACACUUGUCAAUCGGGCCGUAGACGGCAGUAAAAGGUGAGCUAUUUUUAGAGAGCUAUAUAGCAGCGGCAGCGCUCUGGCGUCGCUCAUACGGCCGGAGAGAACGCAACAAACAGAAGUAGAAGCUGUAGUUUGUAACGUGAAGCAAUUCUACGCCUUUAUGAAGUAAUUUCAGUUGGAAGUGAUACAUCACGGGUCUUCCUGCCAGAGAGAAUUAGCCAGAGUGGGGGUUGGAUGGAGGGGUGGAGGCUGCUCUGCCCAUGCAGCGGGUCAGAUGCCGGGGGACACGACAGAGACCUGCCUUUUCCUCACUGGCCAGAGAGCUCUACCGAGGGACAGAGGAUGCUGGAAAGAAGAAGCAGGUGCAGUGCUUUGGUGUUAUUGCGCAGCGGGUUGAGGGCAGGUGUGAGUCUGCCAGGCUUGGUGGCACAGCUGGGCAGUGUGAGCCCUGAUGACUGGCUCAUCGCUCCCUCCCAUGGCUAACCCUCUGUCUCACCAUGUCUGAAACAGCUGGUUCCCACUGAGCCUAUCCCUGACCAGGGCAAAACCUGCACCGUCCAAACUGGGCCAUGGACAGGGAAUAAAAGACACUCAGGGUGCCCCGCAGUUUCUGCCUCACACAUUUACCUUGGAGGCUGAAGCAUUCAAUUUUAAUGGCUGUAUGACAUCAACAGGGAAAUAAUUUUUAUGCUUAGACAACUACAUGUAAGAUGCAUGAUAUUAAUGUCUAAGCAUAAGAAAUUAUUCUUCUUGACUUCAUACACAGAUAUUAAAAGGGAUUUUUUUUCUUUCUUUUUUCUUUUACAUUUUAUACUCUUUUUUUAUUCUCAUAUUGUUCUGCACUUGUAUGUUUUUCUUUAUUAUGUGGAACACAAAUGAAGAAUGUUCACACUGCUUUCUAACUAUUCACUGAAAAUACGUUCUUGUAUGAAGUUAUAUAUUUUUUUCAAUUUUGACUUGCUGUGCCAACAUUUUCACUGGCCCUAUUAUAAAAUAAGAACUAUGAGUGAAUUAAUAAAUAAUAAUAGAAAUCAUUAAUAAAUUAGUUUUUAUUCUAGCAAUGCAUUGUUAUAUUUACUGUAUUAUAUUUUUUUUCUUCACAAAUAUUUUCUUUGCAAAACAGCUAUAAGCUAUAAUUAUCUUAAUUUCAUCAUUUCACAAACGCUGUUGCUGGACAAUUUCUUACGAUGGAAAGCAUCACGGAUUGGUUUGUAUUUUUCAUCGCAUUUGUACUGAUGCAUUCAAGAAUAUUGCAAGUAAUUUUUGCAGUUACUGUAUGACAAAACCUAAUUUAUGUUGGCCAGCUAGAUUACAUUGUCUUCGCAACAAAUUGACUGAAUCUGCAACAACAAUGUACAAAACUUUACAGAAAACCAAAUGUUUAAGGUUGCAAGACAUAAAAAUAGAUGUACAAGAUCAAUAAACAAUGUUAUU